AUUGAACGCUGGCGGCAGGCCUAACACAUGCAAGUCGAGCGAGCGGCGGACGGGUGAGUAAUGUCUGGGAAACUGCCCGAUGGAGGGGGAUAACUACUGGAAACGGUAGCUACUACCUCAUACCAUCAGAUGUGCCCAUAUGGGCUUCGCUAGUAGGUGGGGUAAUGGCUCACCUAGGCGACGAUCCCUAGCUGGUCUGAGAGGAUGACCAGACACACUGGGACUGAGACACGGCCCAGAAGCCUACGGGAGGCAGCAGUGGGGAAGAUUGCACAAUGGGCGCAAGCCGGAUGCAGCCAUGCCGCGUGUGUGAAGAAGGCCUUAGGGUUGUAAAGCACUUUCAGCGGGGAGGCGUUACCGACAGAAGAAGCACCGGCUAACUCCGUGCCAGCAGCCGCGGUAAUAC
rnacentral:rRNA from 1 species